rfam:Salmo salar isolate Sally breed double haploid chromosome ssa28, whole genome shotgun sequence.
UGGCUCAGUUGGUAGAGCAUGGUGUUGUUUGCAACGCCAGGGUUGUGGGUUCGAUUCCCAC